GAAGCCAGAAGCCAAAGCUCAGCUCCAAAGGGACCUAGCAUCACUAGACUCAAACCCCUUGACUCUAAAGAGUGGAAGUUAAGCCCAUGGAAGAUGUGAGACACCACAGGACUGCCCCACCAUCCAGGGAGCUUCCACCACGGUACUGGAUCUCAAACCCAAGGCCUCACCCCUGAUGAGAUGUACACCCUACCAGAUCACUACUGUUUGUCUUUCACAUGUCAUGGAGCAUCUUUUACAUGAGAAUUCCUUGGCUCGGGACUUGGAAGCAUCAGGUUAGGUAAACCCGGGAAUGCUCCAAGAAGACCAGAAGUAGAGGAUGGAAUUUUCCAAUGAAAAACACAACCAUUUGUGCAACUUCAAAAUAGUACAGGCCAGGAGCCACCCUUGGGGAGCACUUUGGCACAGAAGAACCUACUUUCCCAGUAUAACCUUAGGAUAUAAUUUGGUAAUGAGAUCACUUGGCAACCUUGAGCUGUAAUACAGUGAAAUUAAAUAAUUGGACUGCCUGUGGUUUUUAACCUAUCUUUCCUCUUCCAAAGUGGCAUUUGGCCAAACUUAUGAAUAAACACUUAAAUUUUCUGGA